AUGGGAGGACAAACAUCUGACAUAGGGCUACAUACGGGUCUGCAUCACAAGGGACAGAUUCCAUGGGUGGUCGUGGGAGAUUUCAACGAGAUCCUAUACUCUCAUGAGAAAGAAGGCGGAGCUCCUAGGCCAGUCAAUAUGAUGCAAAACUUCAGAGAUGCAUUGGUGGAUUGCGAGCUUGAGGACAUGGGGUUUAUAGGUGAUCAAUUCACUUGGCGUAGACGUAGGUUGAGGGAAUGCCUAGACAGAGCAGUGUGUAAUGGGCCUUUUCAUGGGCUGUUCCCAGCUGCAACGGUGACCAAUGCGCCGCAUACAAAGUUUGACCAUCGUCCGGUGGUUCUUGACCUAGAGGGUGCUGCUGGCGUGGACCAACAAUCAUACGUCAAAUCGAAGCAGUUCGAAGCCCAUUGGCUACAGGAGGAGGAGGAGGUCAUGCAACGUGUUACUGAGGCUUGGGAACGUUCUUGCAUCUCGGACUCCCUUUCUCAACGCACUGCAGCAGUACACCAGGAUCUCCAUAGGUGGGAUCACGAAGUUCUGAAAGCCCCUCACCGGCACUUGAAAGAACUAAAGGAGGAGUUGGAUUUGCUGCGGUCGGGGCCGCUUUCUGAUGAGUCGGCAGAUCGGCAGCGCAGGUUGCUCAUUAAGAUUGAGGAAACUAUGGAGAAGGAAGAAAUCUAUUGGGUCUAG
rnacentral:rRNA from 1 species